rnacentral:rRNA from 1 species
GUUUGAUCCUGGCUCAAGACGAACCCUUGCGGCGUGCCUAACACAUGCAAGUCGAGCGAAUGAAGUUCCUUCGGGAAUGGAUUUAGCGGCGGACGGGUGAGUAACACGUGGGCAACCUGCCUCAUAGAGGGGAAUAGCCUUCCGAAAGGGAGAUUAAUACCGCAUAAGAUUGUAGUACCGCAUGGUACAGCAAUUAAAGGAGCAAUCCGCUAUGAGAUGGGCCCGCGGCGCAUUAGCUAGUUGGUGAGGUAACGGCUCACCAAGGCGACGAUGCGUAGCCGACCUGAGAGGGUGAUCGGCCACAUUGGGACUGAGACACGGCCCACACUCCUACGGGAGGCAGCAGUGGGGAAUAUUGCACAAUGGGGGAAACCCUGAUGCAGCAACGCCGCGUGAGUGAUGACGGCCUUCGGGUUGUAAAGCUCUGUCUUCAGGGACGAUAAUGACGGUACCUGAGGAGGAAGCCACGGCUAACUACGUGCCAGCAGCCGCGGUAAUACGUAGGUGGCGAGCGUUGUCCGGAUUUAUUGGGCGUAAAGGGAGCGUAGGCGGAUUUUUAAGUGAGAUGUGAAAUACCCGGGCUUAACCUGAGUGCUGCAUUUCAAACUGGAAGUCUAGAGUGCAGAAGAGGAGAAGUGGAAUUCCUAGUGUAGCGGUGAAAUGCGUAGAUAUAUGGAGGAACACCAGUGGCGAAGGCGACUUACUGGUCUGUGAUUGACGCUGAGGCUCGAAAGCGUGGGUAGCGAACAGGAUUAGAUACCCUGGUAGUCCACGCCGUAAACGAUGAGUGCUAAGUGUUGGAGGGUUUCCGCCCUUCAGUGCUGGAGUUAACGCAUUAAGCACUCCGCCUGGGGAGUACGGCCGCAAGGCUGAAACUCAAAGGAAUUGACGGGGACCCGCACAAGCGGUGGAGCAUGUGGUUUAAUUCGACGCAACGCGAAGAACCUUACCAGCUCUUGACAUCUUCUGUUCACCCUAGAGAUAGGGCUUCCCCUUCGGGGGCAGAAAGACAGGUGGUGCAUGGUUGUCGUCAGCUCGUGUCGUGAGAUGUUGGGUUAAGUCCCAUAACGAGCGUAACCCUUAUUGUUAGUUGCCANNCUUCAGUUGGGCACUCUAGCGAGACUGCCGGUGAUAAACCGGAGGAAGGUGGGGAUGACGUCAAAUCAUCAUGCCCCUUAUGAGCUGGGCUACACACGUGCUACAAUGANCGGUACAACGGGUAGCGAGGGCGCGAGCCUUAGCAAAUCCUAAUAAGCCGUUCUCAGUUCGGAUUGUUCUCUGCAACUCGAGAGCAUGAAGCCGGAAUCGCUAGUAAUCGCGGAUCAGAAUGCCGCGGUGAAUACGUUCCCGGGUCUUGUACUCACCGCCCGUCA